GAGUGGUUAGCUCAGCGGUUAGAGCGACGAGCCUAAUGAACUCGGCGGCCAGGGGUUCGAUCCCCCUACCACUCG
rnacentral:tRNA from 1 species